rnacentral:rRNA from 1 species
CGCCUCUUGCUCCAAUAUAAGAGGUCCAGCCUGCCCAGUGACAUAGUUUAACGGCCGCGGUACCCUAACCGUGCGAAGGUAGCAUAAUCACUUGUUCUUUAAAUAAGGACUCGUAUCAACGGCAUCACGAGGGCUGUACUGUCUCCUUUCUCCAAUCAGUGAAACUGAUCUCCCCGUGAAGAAGCGGGGAUUGACCUAUAAGACGAGAAGACCCCAUGGAGCUUUAAACCCAACACACACCUCUACUCACUCAAAUCAACAUAACCCAAGAGACUUAUGUGUUGGUUUUAGGUUGGGGGGACCGCGGAGUAAAAUCAAACCUCCAUGACAGACGGACUAACACCCUUAUCCAUGAACCACAAUUCUAAGAGCCAAUAAAUUGUUGUCUAAUGACCCAAUUACUUGAUCAACGAACCAAGUUACCCUGGGGAUAACAGCGCAAUCUACUUCAAGAGCCCCUAUCGACAAGUAGGUUUACGACCUCGAUGUUGGAUCAGGGUAUCCUAGUGGUGCAGCCGCUACUAAAGGUUCGUUUGUUCAACGAUUAAAACCCU